rnacentral:rRNA from 1 species
AGAUUGAACGCUGGCGGCAUGCCUUACACAUGCAAGUCGAACGGCAGCACGGGAGCAAUCCUGGUGGCGAGUGGCGAACGGGUGAGUAAUACAUCGGAACGUGCCCAAUCGUGGGGGAUAACGCAGCGAAAGCUGUGCUAAUACCGCAUAAGAUCUACGGAUGAAAGCAGGGGAUCGCAAGACCUUGCGCGAAUGGAGCGGCCGAUGGCAGAUUAGGUAGUUGGUGAGGUAAAGGCUCACAAGCCUUCGAUCUGUAGCUGGUCUGGAGAGGACGACCAGCCACACUGGGACUGAGACACGGCCCAGACUCCGUAGGGAGCAGCGAGGUGGGUAAUUUUGGAACAAGUGGGACGAAAGCCUGAUCCAGCCAUCGCCGCGUGACAGGA